AGGGCGUUAGCUCAGUAGGUAGAGCAGCGGACUCCAAAUCCGCAGAGGGGGGUUCGAGACCCUCACGCCCUGCUA
rnacentral:tRNA from 1 species